rnacentral:lncRNA from 1 species
GGCGCCGGAAGGUACGGGUCGUUGCCGGAGAGAAGUGAGUGGCUCGGGCAACGCGGGGCCAGAAGGGCAGGACCGCCCGCUGGCUAGAGCCCGGACCGUCCUCCGCCCCGCGACACCAGCCGCCCUCCGGCGAGACAUCCCCGCGCCGUCGCCGCCAGCCGUCCCGCCCGCCUUCCGUCCCCCUUUGGCAGAGCCUGACCUCCAAAAAGCUGAAAGAAGUAUUAUUGAGAGUCAUAGCCCCAAAUUCCCUUACUUGCCCCCAGCUCUCAGUGAAGAAAAGGACCCAUCAGCCUCCGGCCCGGCGACGCCCGGGAAGGAAGAAAGAACGACCACCGCACCGCGCCCGGGAACACCCUGGAGGGAGAAGCCACCCGGCGGCCGGACGACCGCCCCGCUGCCGCGGAGACCCGAAGCUCUCCGGAGCCCAAGGCUGCCCGUCUCGCGUCACCUGCCACUGCCCUUGGCUUGUACUCUUGCAUCUGAGCUGAU